rnacentral:lncRNA from 1 species
GGAUGCAGUGUAUAAAGCAAAGCUAGGUAAAGCCAUUGGUAUAGACGAAAUACCCAGUGAAAUAUUGCGGAAUGAUAAUUGUAUUAAUUUGUUACAUAAACUUGUAAAUUUUUGUUUUACCGAAGGACAAGUGCCGGAAGAAUGGCUCACAAGUAUAAUUACUCCGAUUCCAAAACCCAAAAUGGAUCCGUUGAAGCCGUUAGA